rnacentral:lncRNA from 1 species
AUGUACGAUAGGUAGACUGUGACGCCCCCGAUUCAAUCGUACACUAAUCAUACACGCAAACGUGUACGAUCAAGAUCAAUGACUCAUGGGAAGAUAUCACAACACAACUCUACAAAUAAAAUAAGUCAUACAAGCAUCAUAUUACAAGCCAGGAGCCUCGAGGGCUCGAAUACAAGAGCUCGAUCAUAGACGAGUCAGCGGAAGCAACAAUAUCUGAGUACAAACAUGAGUUAAACAAGUUGCCAUAAGAUGGCUAGCACAAACUGGGAUACAAAUAAAAAGAGGCGCAGGCCUCCUGCCUAGGAUCCAACUAAACUACUCCUGAUCGUCGUUGGCGGCUUGCACGUAGUAUUAGGCACCUCCAGUGUAGUAGGAGUCAUCGUCGGUGGCGUUUGGCUCCUGGGCUCCAACAUCUGGUCACAGCAACCGAGUAUAGAUAGGGGAAAAAGGAGGAGCAAAGCAGCCGUGAGUACUCAUCCAAAGUACUCGCAAGCAAGGAGCUACACUACAGAUGCAUUGGUAUCAAUCAAAGGGUAGUAUAUGUGGACUGAACUGCAGAAUGCCAGAAUAAGAGGGGGAUAGCUAGUCAUAUCGAAGACUGCGCUUCUGGCAGCCUCCAUCUUGAAGCAGUUGAAGAGAGUAGAUGGUAAGUUCACCAAGUAUCAUCGUAUAGCAUAAUCCUACCCGGCGAUCCUCCCCUCAUCGCCCUAUGAGAGAGCAAUCACCGGGUUGUAUUUGGCACUUGGAAGGGUGUAUUUUAUUAACUAUCCGGUUCUAGUUGUCAUAAGGUCAAGGUACAACUCCGAGUCGUCCUUUUACCGAGGGACACGACUAUUCGAAUAGAUAGACUUCCCUUCAGGGGUGCACCAUAGUUGCCAACAUGCUCGAUUCCCUUUGGCCGGACACACUUUCCUAGGUCAUGUCCAGCCUCGGAAGAUCAACACGUCGCAGCCCUACCUAGGCAAAACAGAGAGGUCAGCACGCCAGUCUAAAUCCUAUGGCGCAGGGGUCUGGGCCCAUCGCCCAUUGCACACCUGCAUGUUGCGAACGCGACCGGCGAGCAGAUCUAGCCUCUCUUAUACAAGAGCAGGCGUUCCAGUCCAACCCGGCGCGCGCCGCCCAGUCGCUGACGUCAAGAAGGCUUCGGCUGAUACCACGACAUCGAGUGCCCAUAACUGUUCUCGCGUAGUUGGUUAGUGCGUAUAGGCCAGUGGCCAGACUCAGAUCAAAUACCCAGAUCUCGUUAAGCGUGUUAAUUGAAUUAACCGCAGACGCCGACCAGGGCCAGGCCCACCUCUCUCCUAGGUGGUCUCGACCUACCCUGUCGCUCUGCCACAAAGGUUCACUCAGAGGUGCGUGACAGAUGAACGGAGGACAUAUUCAAAAUCGUCAUAUUUUUCUGAGCAACUUUCAUAUAUAAAUUAUUUUAAUCUGAGUUACGGUUUAUUUUAUAUGAUUUUUCAAAGUUUUAACAAUAUUAUGACAUUCUUGAAAUUAAAUUAAAUUAGGAAAUAUAUUAAUUGAAAGGCUAGGUGUACCCAGAAAAGUACCUAGCAGUGGGCACUGUUGGGCUGGCAGUGGGGCAGGGCUGCAUAGUCAACAACCUAGUCAGCAUUGACUCGGUCAAUGUUUGACCAGUCAAACAAGCAAAUGGGGACCACCUGUCAGUGGCACAUUAUUUAACUCUGGGUUAUUUACUGAUUUAAUUAGGUUUAAGACUAGUCAUAGUGGGAGUAACUUAGAUAGUAACAUGGCGCACUUCAAGAAAAUUAGUCUAAGUUACUCCCCAUUAUGACCAGCUUAAUUGGAGUCCGGGUCCCAGAUGUAAUGGACUCAAGGCUAAUUAACCCAAUAACUAGACUAACCAAUGCAUGGGGCUACAUGUCAUAGGGCCACCGAGAUAAUUAUCCACUAAUUACCCUAACUAAUGGGCAGGGCCGGUCCUGAGGUUUCGGGGGCCCGGGGCGAAACUAGAAUAUGGGGGCCCUUAAGACAAACAUAAAAGUAAUUAUAUAUAUAAUAAUAUAAUUUCUUGGUGACUUUCGACAUACGACUUAGCCCCUCGCCUCUCGGUGACAGGGUGUGGUCAUCCAAAUAUCAGUUGUGACCGGUGACACGUAAGUCCUGAGGGCGUUCAGGACUCAGGAGAAGCAUCGCAUGAGGCAGUAACAUAUCGUCCUGCGUGCAUGUCCAGUCUCAUGUGGCGUCAUGUUGCUUCCCGCUUGAACAGCAACACUCUGCGCUACUACUUUGGUUGUACUAGCUCGUAUUAACUAACAUGUAUACGAUGCAUAUUUUCUGAAUAUUAUGCCUAAUGCAUUUUAAUAAACUCACAGUAAUUAAAGAUCUCAGUUACCUAUGUAUCACAAAAAAUAUGUUCAGAAAAGUACAUACCUCUCUACUUUUCUUGGCACCUCGUUCAUCUUCAGGAAGUGACAUCUCAAAUCCUUGCACGGAAUUGAGCCGAGAUUUCGUGCUGUAUUAUAUUGUUAUUACCUGCGAAAUCAGCAAGAGUUCUUAGGAUUAGGACUGUAGUACUCAAUGAAAAUAGUAAUACAGUAAUACAAAUGAAAUUAGAAGAGAAACUAAUCUGAUAUAAUUAUACUAUUUGUUUGAAUUGUGAUGGGGGUGACAUGAAUCCCCUAGCCAUAAUUCUGUCGUCCACACAAUCGCCGAUCUAAACCUUGGGUGGAUCCAAAAAACUGAAACAUCUAUAAACCCUAAGAUAAAUAAGAGAAUUUUGAUAUGAGACGUACCUAUAUAUCAACUUCAGAUCCAUUAGACGGAUGGAUUGGCUGGGACGGUUUCGUAAAGAUCAGAGCUGUAGAGGAAUAAUCAAUUUUAGAGAGGAGGCAAGUGGCGGCGGAUGACUGUUUUCGGCGGCGGCGGCUGCGAGCCUCAAAGCGAAUCGAUCAGCACGAUCCGCCGGCGUGUAUGUGCGUGAGGAAGGACUAUAGCAGUGCGCCUGUGUGCUACUACUCGGGCCAGGCCUUGUUUCAUUUUUUUUCCUGCG